rnacentral:sRNA from 1 species
AAGGUUCGAUUCGAGCGCAGCGAGAAAGCGUUGCCGCAGGCAACGCCCCGAAGGGCGAAGCGCGCAGCGCUGAGUCAUCCUUCCCCCACCACCA